AACCACUCAACGAAGAGACGCGGUUGCUGCUGCUGCUCUGCAGCCCAACAGUAUCGCGGGAGUCUUGGGGGGCCUUUCAUUAGGUUUCUCCGAAGUUGAGUGGCAGAUUGAUGCCACAAACAGCCCUUCUGUAUCUCCUGCCUUAGAAUCACCACAUGUGAGGGCGGGUCGAACGAUCGGCACAUUU
rnacentral:snoRNA from 1 species